rnacentral:lncRNA from 1 species
GUUGAUGAUCGCUGGAUUUCUUCACCCCGGUAUAAAGGCCAGGCCCAUGAAAACAGUCCAUGAUCCGAAGGUUUCAAUAUUCCCCUCGAGAGCCAGGUCCAGCCCGCUCAGUCACAGGGCCGGACUCCGCCUAGACUCCUCAAUCAAACCGGCCCAAACCUCUCGGCCCAGUAAUCAGGCCCUCACCCGACUCAACUUCAACCCUACC